rnacentral:rRNA from 1 species
UACGUAGGGGGCAAGCGUUGUCCGGAAUCAUUGGGCGUAAAGAGCGUGUAGGCGGUUCGGUAAGUCCGCUGUGAAAGUCCAGGGCUCAACCCUGGAAUGCCGGUGGAUACUGUCGGGCUAGAGUGCGGAAGAGGCGAGUGGAAUUCCUAGUGUAGCAGUGAAAUGCGUAGAUAUCGAGAGGAACACCAGUGGCGAAGGCGAGUCCCUGGACAACUCCUGACACUGAGGCACGAAAGCUAGGGGAGCAAACAGG